rnacentral:misc_RNA from 1 species
CCUAAGAGAUACGUGUUAUGUGCAGUGCUCACACAGAUUGUCUGAUGAAGAACGAGCAAAAGCGCGUCUGCGAAGCUGACAGAAGUCCCCUUCGUCUAGAGGCCUAGGACACCGCCCUUUCACGGCGGUAACAGGGGUUCGAAUCCCCUAGGGGACGCCAAUGCGCGGUAUGAGUGAAAGGCGUACCACUUAUCUGACGAGAGUCAGAGAAUAACUAAGCUAAUUCAAACGAGUUAUCUUACUUAUUAUGCUCUUUAACAAUCUGGAACAAGCUGAAAAAUUGAAAACAAAUCAAUAUAUCACCGAGGUAUAUUGGUGAGUCUCUCAAAAUCUCAAACCUUAAAGUUUGUCACGCAAAGUUUAUCUUUGAAAAAGACACUUUCGGGUUGUGA